AACAGGAAACUAUGCAGAAAGUUGGAAAUACCAUCCCAUCAAAGCAGUAGUAAAACUGAAGUAGACUUCUGCACUCACCAUUUCUUAUAAGCGUCUAUUAGUUUUUUCCUUUUUUUUUUUCUCUGUUUCCUAUUUGUUUUCGUAUACGUGCAUACUCUGUCUGUGUUCAUUAUUAUGGUGAGUACAGCAAACCCAUAUCCCUCUUCUAUAUAUUAUAUAUAACCCAUAUCUCUGUACAGCUGCGUG
rnacentral:lncRNA from 1 species